rnacentral:rRNA from 1 species
UAGGGAAUCUUCCGCAAUGGGCGAAAGCCUGACGGAGCAACGCCGCGUGAGUGAUGAAGGUCUUCUGAUCGUAAAACUCUGUUAUUAGGGAAGAACAAAUGUGUAAGUAACUAUGAACGUCUUGACGGUACCUAAUCAGAAAGCCACGGCUAACUACGUGCCAGCAGCCGCGGUAAUACGUAGGUGGCAAGCGUUAUCCGGAAUUAUUGGGCGUAAAGCGCGCGUAGGCGGUUUUUUAAGUCUGAUGUGAAAGCCCACGGCUCAAACGUGGAGGGACAUUGGAAACUGGAAAACUAGAGUGCAGAAGAGGAAAGGGGGAUUCCAUGUGGAGCGGUGAAAUGCGCAGAGAUGUGGAGGAACACCAGUGGCGAAGGCGACUUUCUGGUCUGUAACUGACGCUGAUGUGCGAAAGCGUGGGGAUCAAACAGG